GUGAUUGUGUUUUCAGCCACCGGUAGCUUAUGGCUGCUUUAUAUGCGCUACAGUCAAUUUGGAUUGCAUGUCUACUUAUAUUAAGUAUAUCAUUAUUCAUAUACGCUUACUGUAUGAUAGCUAUAAAAUUAAGGGGCUUACGUUGCAAACUUCCCUAACUUCCCUUCCAUUUGAACCGACAAGAAAUACGGGAUUGCCCCAAGGGCAUAAGGCGAGGUGAUCUGCGAUUGGAAGAUUGGUGAGAGCAAUGACAUGGACACCAUCCACUUACAGAUCAGUGAUUACCUCCAGGAAGUACAGCACAUGGAUGCUUUAUGCCGCAUGUAAUUCAUUGGAGACACAAUGGUUAUGAAUCAUUUUAUUGAGAUAUAAUCUAUCAUGUGAUUGUAAGAUGUUCUCAAUGUGUUAUCAAAUACAUUUCUCAUUACUUAUAAUGCCAGCCUGUCACGCCCUGACCUGAGAGAGACGGUUUAUUUCUCUAUUUUGUUAGGUCAGGGUGUGUGGUGGGCAUUCUAUGUUUUGUAUUUCUCUGUGUUGGGCCGAGUAUGGUUCCUAAUCAGAGGCGGCUGUCUAUCGUUGUCUAUCGUUAGGAAUCAUACUUAGGCAGCCUUUUCCCACCUGUGUUUUGUGGGUAGUUAUUUUCUGUUUUGUAUUUCGUUACCUGAUUGAACUGUUUGGCUUUUCGGUGUGUUUCUUUGUUCUAGUGUUUUCAUUGUUUAAUAAAUAUAAUGAACACUUACCACGCUGUGCUUUGGUCCCCUCUCUACGACAGCCGUAACACAGCCACUAUGAGUGUUCUCUAUGUUCUUGCUCUCAGCUGUAAAGUUAUUCAGUAAAUGUUCAUAUUCUUCUUGCUCUCUGAAAAAAAUAUAUAUUAUUAUUGGAAAAAUGGUGCACAGUAUUUUCAUGUAUGUUCAUGUACAUUGUAUUCUCUCUAUCCAAUGUAUAGCACAUACUGAUUUGUAUUUGUUGUAAUCAUCAUUCCUUGCCCUUACCAGUAAAGUUUGUGAGAAGGUCA